AACACGACCGUUAAGCCCUCUAGCGCCGAUGGUACUUGGACCGCAGGGUCCUGGGAGAGUAGGACGCCGCCAAGC
rnacentral:rRNA from 1 species